CCCCUUCUCUUUUGCUCAGUUUGCUGAUUUCUAGCAGUAACUCUAUAUUACUUGGGAUAACAUGUUCCCUUACACUGGUUAGCCAAGUAGUUAGGGUGCUUUGAUGGAAGAGGCAAGUAAUUAUUUUCAUAGAUCAUGAGUGUAGGUCUAUCCUCCUCCUGGUGGUUAGUCUAGAAGUGUUACAUUGAAUACCUACAGUUUCCCCCUUUUCCGGGCACCCAGAAAGCACAUUGAUCAUGUGAUCCAAGACUUUGGGUGGUUAACACAACAGAAUGGUUGGUCUUUAGAGCAUCCUCCUCAGUUGUGGAUCUGAGGAACUUAGUAAUGGAGACAAAAUCCCAGCCAACAGGUUUGAUCCCAUUUUAGAGUCAGACUGUGUUGUACUCUGAUGAGUCCAUUUGGGCCAAAAAAUAUUUCGUUACAUGAUUAAGCACUAAGCUUAUUUUCUCUUUGC
rnacentral:lncRNA from 1 species